UAGCGGCAGGCCUAACACAUGCAAGUCGAGGGAGAAGCCUUUCGGGGCAGAAACCGGGCGCACGGGUGCGUAACGCGUAUGCAACCUACCUUUCACAGGGGGAUAGCCCCGAAGAAAUUUGGAUUAAUACCCCAUAAUAUUGUUGGAUGGCAUCAUCUGACAAUUAAAACUGAGGUGGUGAAAGAUGGGCAUGCGUCCUAUUAGCUAGUUGGAGUGGUAACGGCACCCCAAGGCUACGAUAGGUAGGGGUCCUGAGAGGGAGAUCCCCCACACUGGUACUGAGACAGGGACCAGACUCCUACGGGAGGCAGCAGUGAGGAAUAUUGGUCAAUGGUCGGAAGACUGAACCAGCCAUGCCGCGUGCAGGAAGAAUGCCUUAUGGGUUGUAAACUGCUUUUAUAUGGGAAGAAUAAGGUGU
rnacentral:rRNA from 1 species